CCUACGGGUGGCUGCAGUGAGGAAUAUUGGUCAAUGGACGCAAGUCUGAACCAGCCAUGCCGCGUGCAGGAUGACGGCUCUAUGAGUUGUAAACUGCUUUUGUACGAGGGUAAACCCCGAUACGUGUAUUGGGUUGAAAGUAUCUUACGAAUAAGGAUCGGCUAACUCCGUGCCAGCAGCCGCGGUAAUACGGAGGAUCCGAGCGUGAUCCGGAUUUAUUGGGUUUAAAGGGUGCGUAGGCGGUUUUAUAAGUUAGAGGUGAAAGGUCGCGGCUCAACCCCGGAACUGCAUCUAAUACUGUUGGACUAGAGAAUAGUUGAGGUAGGCGGAAUGUAUGGUGUAGCGGUGAAAUGCUUAGAGAUCAUGAAGAACACCGGUUGCGAAGGCAGAUGACCAAACUAUAUCUGACGUUGAGGCACGAAAGCGUGGGUAGCAAACAGGAUUAGAUACCCUUGUAGUC
rnacentral:rRNA from 1 species